rnacentral:rRNA from 1 species
GUGAGAAGCCGCGGGAAUACGAAGGGUGCAAGCGUUAAUCGGAAUUACUGGGCGUAAAGGGUGCGUAGGCGGUUAUUUAAGUCUGCCGUGAAAUCCCCGGGCUCAACCUGGGAAUGGCGGUGGAUACUGGAUAGCUAGAGUGUGUCAGAGGAUGGUGGAAUUCCCGGUGUAGCGGUGAAAUGCGUAGAGAUCGGGAGGAACAUCAGUGGCGAAGGCGGCCAUCUGGGACAACACUGACGCUGAAGCACGAAAGCGUGGGGAGCAAACAGGAUUAGAUACCCUGGUAGUCCACGCCCUAAACGAUGCGAAC